rnacentral:rRNA from 1 species
ACUCAAAUGAAUUGACGGGGGCUCACACAAGCGGUGGAGCAUGUGGCUUAAUUCGAAGCAACGCGAAGAACCUUACCUGGGCUUGACAUGCUUGGAUGCUUUAUGGGGAUAACUCAUAAAGUUGCUCUUCGGAGUGAAACUUGCACAGGUGUUGCACGGCUGUCGUCAGCUCGUGCUGUGAAGUGUCGGGUUAAGUCCCUUAACGAGCGAAACCCUUGCCGUUAGUUACCAGCGGGUAAAGCCGGGGACUCUAGCGGGACUGCCGGCGUUAAGCCGGAGGAAGGCGGGGACGACGUCAAGUCAUCGUGGCCCUUAUGUCCAGGGAUGCACACGUGCUACAAUGGCGCGUACAAAGCGACGCAAGACCGCGAGGUGGAGCAAAUCGCAAAAAACGCGCCCCAGUUCGGAUUGGAGUCUGUAAUUCGACUCCAUGAAGUUGGAAUCGCUAGUAAUCGCGGAUCAGCUACGCCGCGGUGAAUGUGUUCCUGAGCCUUGUACACACCGCCCGU